CCGAUUUUAGCUCAGUUGGUAGAGAAGAGGACUGUAACGGGAUACAAAAGCCUGAUUGUUAUUCUUAGGUAGCUAGUUCAAAUCUGGCAAGUCAAA
rnacentral:tRNA from 1 species